rfam:Loxodonta africana unplaced genomic scaffold scaffold_23, whole genome shotgun sequence.
GCAUUGGUGGUUCAAUGGUAGAAUUUUUGCCUCCCAUGCAGAAGGCCCAGGUUCAAUUCCUGGCCAAUGCA